AUAGCUAUCUAACCGCUAGCUUAUGAAAAACUUUCCUGACAUUAACUCAUAUCUGUUUUUUGCCCCAUUUUGAAUUUCAGCAGAUUUCUCUUAGUGAUUAUUUAUUAAUGCUUUGAAAAAAUAACCCGUAGAAAAGCUCAAUUUUCAUUCCCUAAGAAUAAAUGUGUACUGAUUAAUCUCAUGGGAGAUUGUUUCAUAAGCAUGUAUCAUUACAUUAUUUUCCUUGUAAUUAAUUUGCUAAACGGAGGUGAACAAAGUAGUCCUAAACUAAAAUUUAUUUACCAUUUCUCCUUUAAAUACAAAGACAAAUAUGAUCUAUUCAUGACAUUAUACCACUGUUUCUGUUAUUUCCCAUAUUAACUUGGCGUAGUUGUUUAAAACAUUCUUUUCUUCUUUGUAGAUGAAGAAAAUAUGACAGUGAAAUAACGAUUACUAUUGAUCAGUCAUAGUUGUUUAAAAUAAUGUCUAAUGGGCUGGGUGCGGUGGUUCACACCUGUAAUCUCAGCACUUUGGGAAGCCGAGGUGGGCAGAUUAUGCGGUCAGGAGAUCAAGACCAUCCUGGCCAACAUGGUGAAACCCCAUCUCUACUAAAAUAAAAAAAAAAAAUUAGCUGGGUUUGGUGGCACACACCUGUAAUCCCAGCUACUCGGGAGGCUGUGGCUGGAGAAUCGCUUGAACCAGCAGGUGGAGGUUGCAGUGAGCCAAGAUCACGCCACUGUUCUCCAGCCUGGGCAACACAGCGAGGCUCCGUCUCCAAAAAAAAGAAAAAAAAAUGUCUAAUGUAUACUGUUUUAAAUAGAUUAUACCUUAAUGCAUGAUGUGAAAUUUUAGAGUUAACAGUUAUGUUUGAAUCUGGGUUCAUCCACUUACCAUCUGUAGACACAUUACUUUUGUCCCUUGGUAUCCAUGGGGCACUGGUUCCAGACCCUCAUGGAUAACAAAAUGUGUAAAUGCUUAAGCCCUUUACAUAAUAUUUGUGUAUAACCUAUGCACGUCCUCCCAUAUACUUAUAAUACUUAAUGCAUUGUAAAUGCUAGGUAUAGAAUUGUUAUACUGUAGUUUUAAUUUGUAUUUUUAUUGUAUUAACUUUAGUUCAUUUUUUUCUAAAUAUUUUGAUCUGUGGAUAUGGGGGGGCUAAUGUACUUAAUUUUUCUGAGAGUUACAUUCCUGUACUUUAAAAUGAAAGUGAUAAUACUUCCUCAAAAAGUUGUUGUGAGGAAUAUAUGAGAAAUGGUACUGACACUGUAAUACAUGCUCAAUAAACCUUUUCUCUUUUUAUUUCCA